rnacentral:tRNA from 2 species
CGAGGCGUAGCGCAGUUUGGUAGCGCGCUUGGUUCGGGACCAAGAGGUCGUGGGUUCAAAUCCCGUCGCCUCGACCA